AUGUGUGCGUGCUCAGUCACUUCAGUUGUGUCUGACUCUUUGCGACCCUAUGGACCAUAGCCUGCCAGGCUCCUCUGUCCAGGAGAUUCUCCAGCCACCACCUUCAGUUCCAGUUCCAGAAGUAUCUGAUUUACCACUGUUGGAAAUGCUCUCAAACGGUGUCACAGGAAUAAAACAGACAAUCAAAAAUGGCCCGGCAAGGCAGUCUUUAUUUCUGCAGAAGGAUGUGCUACAGACAAAGGCCUGGGAGCGAGCACACUUGAGUGGGAAGUCUGCUUGGUUUGUAUCCCUAAGACGCAGGUUCCCUCCUCUGACUCCUCAUAGGUUGAUGACCAGAGUUUCGAUCUUUCCUGGAUGUUGCCUAAGUUUUUUAUUAGACAAUUGGUCUCCAUGAG
ensembl:lncRNA